rnacentral:rRNA from 1 species
GAUGAACGCUGGCGGCGUGCUUAACACAUGCAAGUCGAACGGAAAGGCUCCUGCUUGCAGGGGUACUCGAGUGGCGAACGGGUGAGUAACACGUGGGUGAUCUGCCCUGCACUUCGGGAUAAGCCUGGGAAACUGGGUCUAAUACCGGAUAGGACGAUGGUUUGGAUGCCAUUGUGGAAAGUUUUUCGGUGUGGGAUGAGCUCGCGGCCUAUCAGCUUGUUGGUGGGGUAAUGGCCUACCAAGGCGUCGACGGGUAGCCGGCCUGAGAGGGUGUACGGCCACAUUGGGACUGAGAUACGGCCCAGACUCCUACGGGAGGCAGCAGGGGGGAAUAUUGCACAAUGGGCGCAAGCCUGAUGCAGCGACGCCGCGUGGGGGAGGACGGCCUUCGGGUUGUAAACUCCUUUCGCUAGGGACGAAGCGUUUUGUGACGGUACCUGGAGAAGAAGCACCGGCUAACUACGUG